UUUAGCCCUUGAUGACCACAUGUCUCUCAGAGAUGAGAUUCUCAAGCUGAGGGAACACGUGAGAAGCUGACAAUGAAUCAGCGCUUUGGAAUUCAUCGUUUUGCUGCCUCAGACAAGGACAUACGUUUUUUCACAAGAUUUGCAUCCUAUGACGUGCUGAUGAGAUUCUGGGCCUUAAUAGAGCCAUCACUGCCAUCUAUGGUCAGUGUGACACAAGCACAGAGAGGCACCUUUACAGAGCCAAGUUCCACUGUAACUCGUUCCCUGCAGCCCAUUGAUGAGAUGUUCAUGUUUCUCAACUACCUGGCACUGGGUUCAAAAGACCGGUAUGGAGUCCACCAGUCCACAGUCAGUCGGAUCAUUACAACGUAGAGCAACUUUCUGUACACUGUGCUAGGGUCUGUGAGGAUCUGGAUACCAGAGGAGAAAAUAAGGGCACAUCUGCCAGCUGAGUUUAAGGACUAUGCAGACACUAGAGUCAUCCUGGACUGCACAGAGCUGAAGUGCCGGUGCCCUUCAACACUUCUUCUCCAAAGUGAAAUGUUCUCAGCAUACAAGUCCCACUGUACUCUCAAAGGGCUGCUUGGAGUGGCUCCUCAUGGGGCGGUCACAUUUAUCUCUCCACCGUACGCUGGUUCCAUCAGUGACAAACAGAUCAUGCGAGAGUCUGGAAUUCUCUCCCUUUUGAGACCUGGGAUGGCCAUCAUGGUUGACCGAGGUUUUCUUGUUGAUGACCUUGUGCCUUGCAAGAUUUAUAGGCCAGCAUUUCUCUCUGGAAGAUCCCAGCCUGUGAGGUCAGGGAGACCCAAGCAAUUGCACACCUCAGGGUGCAUGUUGAGCGCCUUAAGGAACACAAGUUCUUUGACACAGAGAUUCCACUUCGGCUUUUUUGGCAACAUUAAUCAGCUGUAUACUGUUGCAUGUCUUCUGACAAACUAUGAAAACGGGCCUCUUGUAAAGGCUUGGGCAAAGAAGCCAGAGUAGCAGUAGUAGAAAACUACUUUCUUUAAAUGUACCUUUGUAAAUUACUUUGUAUACAUUUAAUUUUAUAGUUCCUCAUGUUAUGUAUGCACUGCUGUACAUUGCAUACUCUUUGAAUAAAGAACUACUGGAUUAUUUGCAUGUUAUAUGUACUUUACCUCACCAGUGCUU